ensembl:rRNA 5S_rRNA 5S ribosomal RNA
GUCUAUGGUCAUACCACCUUGAACACACCUGAUUGCUAAUCUCAGAAGCUAAGCAGGGUCCGGCCCAGUUAGUACCUGGAUGGGAGAAUGACAGCAGUGAUAGUAGUGGUUAUUUCAGACA